GUGCCAGACAAGAGUGGCUGGCACGCAGUCACAAGGCUCUGCAGACACACCUUUCCUAAGGAGUUUGUUUUCAUCUGUGACUUAUCUGAUGCGCCAAGGCCAAGGAGUUUGUGAGCGACCUUUGCCUGAAAUUCUAAGCUCUAGCAUCUAGAGCAACUUGCAAAUUGGCAGGACGAAGCUUAUUUUCUAAAAUAAAUAUUCCGUUAAUAAUGUAACUCUAAAACGGGCAACAUUGCGUGAAAAAUAAAUUCCUUAUGCAAUAAUAUCUUUGAAAAUAUGAUCACCUAAGAGUGUCUGAGUGGCCACCUCCAUUAAAUUGCAUAUUUUGAACACUAACUGCCUCCUGCUGUCCAUAUGACUGUUUCUAGUCUGUGUACUGCCCCUGGCCCCAUUUAAGCUGUACCAAAAUUGGUUUUUCUUUAUCCUAAUUCUUUCCCACAGCUUGAGAGAUUUAUUAAUCCUAUUGGCAAAUCCUGUCUCUUCCAUUAGACACAGCACCUAUGGCUCACAGAACUUUUAGGAGCCAACAAAAGUUUUUUUUCAUUUGUUUUGAAGUCAGAAGAGAAAAUAGAUUUAAGUGUUUUAAUGUCCACUAAUAUUUCUGUCUUUUGUACUGAAGGCACACCCAACACAAACGUUUAAAUCUGUAAUAGCUAAAGAGACUCAAAGAUAGCUAGAGCCCAAGAAAAUCAUGGCAUAUCUUUGUGGCCCAGGACUGCAGAUUCCUUUUCCAUGGAAAAUAAUUUUAAACCCCAGACAACAUGACAGCAUCAUGGUUUGCACCUUAUAUAAAAUGCUGACCUCCGUGGCCUUGCUUCCUCUGCAUGCGUUCACUAGUUAAUCCGACAACACACCUGUGAACUGGGUUCUGUUCCCACAUGUAGGGGCGGAUGCAGGGUUUUGUGGGGCCUGAAAUUUAUGCAGUUUGGGUGGUCCUCUGAAAAGAGAAAACAAAACAAAACAAACCAGCAUGUCCAACCUGUUCCAGCAGCCCUCGGCAUUGGGUGGAACUGACUAAGUGGAUGUCCAGCUGGAAAGAGACCUCUGUCUCAACCCAGAGUGGUUAAAUUAUCUUACUUUUACAAAUUGUAUUAAAAAAAAAAAAACCACAUGAUCACAUAAACAUGCUGCCAAAGUUUUCUUGUAUAGGGGUGAAGAAAAGCUACCCAGAAGCUUGUGCACCACAGAAAAUCUGCCUUGUGUGCCCAUUUCACAGCUCCUGCCCUGAGUGCCUUGCCGGAGGCUUCUCUCUUACAGAUGGAGCAAGAAGCCAGAAGAUUAAAGGAUUGAGCUGAGGUCCAGAGAGAGGUAGUAGGGAGCUAUUAUGGCGGGCCACUUGCUUCUCCUGAUGCUUCUAGCUUCUCCAGGCUCUCACAAGCAGCUACCUGUACAGGUAAGGCUUUGAUGAGGUUGGAUUCUGCCUUUGCUGUCCCCAAAGGAUGUGCUCAGAUUUCCUUUUCCAUCUCUCCCUAGUCCAUGUGUUAGUUAUUAGUCUCAUUGCUAGGACAGAGCAACCUAAGGAGCUCACGGUUUGGGGGUGCAGUCCAUAACGGUGGACGGCAGGAGCACAAGGCGGCUGUCACACUGCGUCUGCGGUCAGGAUGCAGAGAGGGGUAAAUGUUGCUGCCCAGCCCACUUUCUUCUCUUUAUGCAAUCCCAGGACCCAAGCCCAGGGAAUACCACAACCCAGAUUCAUGGUGGGUCUUCCCAAUCCAGUUAAUUAACCUGCCAACUCUCUCGCAGACAUGCCCAGACCGUGUCUCCAAGGUGCUUGUCUCCAAGGUGCUUUUCUGUCAUGUUGACAAUUCUAUCAUGUUGACAAUACCAACCAUCCACAACCCAUGUUCUUCCUUUUCUUGGCCUUUAAUAGUCUACUGCUUCCUCUUGUGCAUUCCUGCUGCAGGUAGAGGUGUGUGUGUGUGUGUGUGUGUGUGUGUGUGUGUGUGUGUGUGUGUGUGUAGCUCAGUGUGUACAUGUGAUUAUAUGUUUGUGUGGUACAUGCCCAUUGUGUGGAGGACAGAGGUCAACUCCAGAUGUCCUUCUGUCCACCUUACUUCUUGAAGCCGGGUCUCUCACUGUGAUCGGGGGCUUGUCAUUGGGCUAUACUGGCUGGCCAUUGAGCCCCAAGGAUCCUCCUGCCUCUGCCUCCUCAGCACUAAGAGUACAAACAUACACCACCAUGCCUGUUUUUUCUGUAAUUUGGAGUCUUUUGUUAUUGUUGUUGUUGCUGUGUGAGUGCUAGGAGUUUGACUGAGGUCCCCAUGUGCGCAUGGCAAGUGCUUUACAGACUGAGCUGUCUCCCCACUCUGGUUCAGAUAUUAAUUAGUAUGCAUCAGUGUAGAUGGGCUGCUGCUUCUCUGAAUUCAGCAUUGUUUCUCUACAGGGCCUUCUCCCCCAACCCCCACCCAUGAUUGGGACUCUCAGGAUGCUAUUCACCUUUGGUGUGUUCCCGCUUUCUUCAACUUGAAAGUGUCUUUAUAGUUUAUACUCAAAAUCUGCUAAAGCCAGGAACAUCCCUUGAUGACUCACCACCUUUAGUGAGCCAGUUUGUUCUUUGUAUUUACAUGAGGACAAGUAAAAGGAUAAAAAUGUGGCAUCACCACUAGACUUCUGAACUCAAUAUUCAAGAAAUUCAUUGAAUUUUCAAUACUAUAAAUGGCACAUGACAGUCAACAAGACAGGCAAUGCCACCGCUCUCUUUCAUUGCUAGCCUCUUAAGACAUCAUCAGAUGGGCGUGGUGGCCGUGGUGGUUUAAAUGAGAACGUCCCCCAUAGGCUCACAUAUUUGAAUGCUUGGUCCCUAGUUGGUGGAACUGCUUGGGAAGGAUUAGAAGGUGUGGCCUUGUUGGAGGAAGUGUGUGUGUCACUGGAGGCAGCCUUUGAGGUUUCAUUAAUGAAUGCCAGGCCCAGUCUUUGUUUCUGUCUCCUGCUGGUGAAUCAUAUGUAAGCUUUCAGCUUCUGCUCCUGUGCCAUGCCUGCCUGCCUGCUGCCAUACUCCCUACCAUGAUGGUUGUGAACUCACCCUCUGGAACUGUAAGCAAGCUCUCAGCCAAAUGCUUUCUUUUGUAAGUUGCCUUGGUCCUGGUGUCUCUACACAGCCAUCAAACAGUAACCAAGUCAGCAGCACAAAGUACUCAGGAGAUGGAUAAAGGGGGAUCAGGAGUUCCAGGUCAUUCUCUGCUACUUAGUGAGUUUGAAGCCAGUGUAGGCUACAUGAGACUCUGUCUUUAAAAGACAUAAAAACAAUAAGACAAAAUGUGGUCCAUGUGGGAAAUAUAGUGGAUCAGCAGAGUACAUGAUAAACACAUGGACCUAAUUUAAAUUUACUGGUUUUUAUCACUGUCUUUUAUUUUCUGUUCCUAUCAGCAAUGAAUAAAGUUUUAGGCCUAAAGCCUGAACACUUGAUUUCACAAAUGACCCAAGAUUAAUUACAGGCCAUUAAGGUAUCAAUAAUUAACAGAUAAUAUUCAGGGUUUUUUUUUUUAAGGAAAUUUAUUGUACCUUUUAUUUUAAACCUUGUUCAUUUGCUAAAAGUUAAAAGUCUGUGGACACAUCAGCUGAUUUAAAACUCAGUAUUUGGGGACUGAUAAUAUUGCUUCUUUGGUAAUGUUGCCAGUUACCCAGGCUCAGUUUCAUCCCCAGGGACCUAUGUGGUAGGACAAGAAAACUAACUCCUCCACGCUGACCUCUGGUCACCACAUGAAUGCCAUCACCCAUCACCCAAACCCCUAGAAAGAACAAAUAAAUGAAAAAAAUAGAAAAACAUUUUUUAAAUCUACUAUUUAUUCAUUUUUUUUGUAUUUUAAAAUUGCUGUUCAAGUGAGAAGAAACAUGAAGACUCAAUCCCCACAAUUAACCUAGUAUCAAUCCCCCAACUAACUUAACACAGCAGUAAACAUAUAUUUUAGUAAUUUGCCCUUACUUCCUUCUUUUCUAUCAUUGUAGAAUGAUGAACAUCCUGGUUCAUCCCUUUGCAAAGGCAUUGGGAAGUUACACAAAGUUCUAUGAAGAAAACCAACCUUAAUCGAAGAUCAGGUAACACUGAGGAAAACGAACAAAAGACAAUUCAUGAAUUGCAAAGCUUUUCAGAAACCUGAAUUUAGAGUGGAUCUUCAAUUAUAACAUAACAGGAGAUUCUGUAAUGAUACAAUGUACAUUAACAUAACAUUGCACACGGGAGGGCCUUUCCCCAAAUCCAUUCUCUCCUUUUUCAAGGAACUCAGGUCGAUUGCCCUUUAAAGAGCCAGUCCGUCCCUAGGGAGGCUUUAGUCCCCAAAACUCUGGCAGAUCUGUCCUCAUCCCUUGGCUACACAGUGACCAAGUGGACAGAGUAUAUAAUGACAAGUUCUCCAAAAGGAAAGGGCCUUGAUUUGUAGCACUGGCCAAUUUCCAUAGUGUCAACACUCUCAUCGUGGCUAAUUCCAAGCCACAAAGGCCAAAUCACUGGGCAAAUUGGAAAGACCAGUUAUCAUCUGAGGAUGAACUAUCCCUCGAUCAGAACACCAGUGUCCAAAGCAAGAGGCACUGGGUUUGUGGAUAAAGAAAUUCCAGCAUUUACUGGUAAAGCACCUGUCACAGGGUUCCUUUGGAAAGCGCCUUCCUGAUAAUUUAGUCAGCUCAGAGCAGAGAAGAGCAGAGUAGAGAAGGGAGGGGCUAAACUGUAGGGUCAUCACUGGAUGCGAGCCAGCCUGAGCCUCCAGACUGCAGUUAUAUGAGACAGUGAAUCCCUUCAGACCCUUCUCUGCCUCCCCCCUUACCAUUUGUUUGUUUGUUUGUUUGUUCUUUGAUAUGUCGUUAAUUUUCCUUUUAUUAAAUCUGCCUAUAUUAGGUUUUGUUUUAUUGAAAGAAUAUGACCUUUUUUUUUAUUCAAAAAGCUUUUCAAAAGAACAAGUCAGCAACGGCAGCUAGAGUGUGUUAUCUCCCACAUAUCCCACAGUUCACUCCCUCUAAGAAACAUCCCCCUCUCUGUCCCUACAAAGCAACCUGAACCAAUAACUGUCUGUAACCCAAAGCGCUGACUGCCAUGAAGAUGGGUCAGACUCAACAGGUUCCAAGUGGCAAUCACAUUCUCUACUGAACACACACUCCACCUCUGCUCCUGCUUCUCCUCAGCUCAUGAACUCGGUGUGUGCCUGACGGGAUAGGAAAGAAGGAAGGGGUGACAUGAUUCUUGCACCUU